GGAGGAUUCGCAUAAUGGUAUUGCAGCGGUCUUGAAAACCGCCGGGGGCGACCCUGUGGGAGUUCGAGUCUCUCAUCCUCCGCAA
rnacentral:tRNA from 1 species